rnacentral:rRNA from 1 species
UACGUAGGGACCAAGCGUUGUUCGGAUUUACUGGGCGUAAAGGGCGCGUAGGCGGCAAUUCAAGUCAGCUGUGAAAUCUCCGAGCUUAACUCGGAACGGUCAACUGAUACUGUGCGGCUAGAGUGCAGAAGGGGCAACUGGAAUUCUUGGUGUAGCGGUGAAAUGCGUAGAUAUCAAGAGGAACACCUGCGGCGAAGGCGGCAUCCUGGACCGGCAUUGACGCUGAGGCGCGAAAGCCAGGGGAGCAAACGGG